GGGUGAGGAUUACAUGGGUAACCUACCCUCGAGUGGGGAAUAACCAGCCGAAAGGUUGGCUAAUACCGCGUACGCUUCCGGGACUGCGGUUUCGGAAGGAAAGCGAUACCGUGGGUAUCGCGCUCUUGGAUGGGCUCAUGCCCUAUCAGCUUGUUGGUGAGGUAACGGCUCACCAAGGCUUCGACGGGUAGCUGAUCUGAGAGGAUGAUCAGCCACACUGGCACUGCGACACGGGCCAGACUCCUACGGGAGGCAGCAGUAAGGAAUAUUGCGCAAUGGGCGAAAGCCUGACGCAGCGACGCCGCGUGGGGGAUGAAGGUCUUCGGAUUGUAAACCCCUUUCGGGAGGGAAGAUGGGAUGGGGUAACCCAUUCGGACGGUACCUCCAGAAGCAGCCACGGCUAACUUCGUGCCAGCAGCCGCGGUAAUACGAAGGUGGCAAGCGUUGUUCGGAUUUACUGGGCGUACAGGGAGCGUAGGCGGUUGGAUAAGCCCUCCGUGAAAUCUCCAGGCUUA
rnacentral:rRNA from 1 species